AGGAUGAACGCUGGCGGCGUGCUUAACACAUGCAAGUCGAACGAUGAAGCCCAGCUUGCUGGGUGGAUUAGUGGCGAACGGGUGAGUAACACGUGAGUAACCUGCCCUUAACUCUGGGAUAAGCCUGGGAAACUGGGUCUAAUACCGGAUAGGAGCGCCUACCGCAUGGUGGGUGUUGGAAAGAUUUAUCGGUUUUGGAUGGACUCGCGGCCUAUCAGCUUGUUGGUGAGGUAAUGGCUCACCAAGGCGACGACGGGUAGCCGGCCUGAGAGGGUGACCGGCCACACUGGGACUGAGACACGGCCCAGACUCCUACGGGAGGCAGCAGUGGGGAAUAUUGCACAAUGGGCGAAAGCCUGAUGCAGCGACGCCGCGUGAGGGAUGACGGCCUUCGGGUUGUAAACCUCUUUCAGUAGGGAAGAAGCGAAAGUGACGGUACCUGCAGAAGAAGCACCGGCUAACUACGUGCCAGCAGCCGCGGUAAUACGUAGGGUGCGAGCGUUAUCCGGAAUUAUUGGGCGUAAAGAGCUCGUAGGCGGUUUGUCGCGUCUGUCGUGAAAGUCCGGGGCUUAACCCCGGAUCUGCGGUGGGUACGGGCAGACUAGAGUGCAGUAGGGGAGACUGGAAUUCCUGGUGUAGCGGUGGAAUGCGCAGAUAUCAGGAGGAACACCGAUGGCGAAG
rnacentral:rRNA from 1 species